rnacentral:miRNA from 1 species
AUGCCAAACACCUGCAAAUCUUGUUAAAAUGCAGAUUCUGAUUCAGCGAGUCUCUAUGGGACCCGUGAUUCUGCAUUUCCAACAGCUUCCCAGGUGGUGCAUAU